GCUCGCGUCGUUCAACGGCCAGGAUCCUGGGCUUUCACCUCAGGGACAUGGGUUCGAUUCCCAUCGCGAGUACCA
rnacentral:tRNA from 1 species